AUUGAACGCUGGCGGCAGGCCUAACACAUGCAAGUCGAACGAGUGGCGGACGGGUGAGUAAUGUCUGGGAAACUGCGUGAUGGAGGGGUAUAACUACUGGAAACGGUAGCUAAUCCCGCAUACCAUCAGAUGUGCCCAGAUGGGAUUAGCGAGUUGGUGGGGUAAAGGCACCCCAAGGAGACGAUCCCUAGCUGGUCUGAGAGGAUGACCAGCCACACUGGAACUGAGACACGGUCCAGACUCCUACGGGAGGCAGCAGUGGGGAAUAUUGCACAAUGGGCGCAAGCCUGAUGCAGCCAUGCCGCGUGUAUGAAGAAGGCCUUCGGGUUGUAAAGUACUUUCAGCGGGGAGGCGUUACCCGCAGAAGAAGCACCGGCUAACUCCGUGCCAGCAGCCGCGGUAAUAC
rnacentral:rRNA from 1 species